rnacentral:rRNA from 1 species
CCAUGCAUGUCCAAGUACAUGCCGUAUUAAGGCGAAACCGCGAAUGGCUCAUUAAAUCAGUUAUGGUUCCUUGGAUCGUACCUUACUACUUGGAUAACUGUGGCAAUUCUAGAGCUAAUACAUGCAGCAGAGCUCCGACCUACGGGGACGAGCGCUUUUAUUAGACCAAAACCAAUCGGACCUCGUGUCCGUUCUUUGUGGUGACUCUGUAUAACUUUGGGCUGAUCGCACGGGCCCGUCCCGGCGACGUAUCUUUCAAGUGUCUGCCUUAUCAACUUUCGAUGGUAGGUUACGCGCCUACCAUGGUCGUAACGGGUAACGGGGAAUCAGGGUUCGAUUCCGGAGAGGGAGCCUGAGAAACGGCUACCACAUCCAAGGAAGGCAGCAGGCGCGCAAAUUACCCACUCCCAGAACGGGGAGGUAGUGACGAAAAAUAACAAUACGGGACUCUUUUGAGACCCCGUAAUUGGAAUGAGUACACUCUAAAUCCUUUAACGAUUAACCAUUGGAGGGCAAGUCUGGUGCCAGCAGCCGCGGUAAUUCCAGCUCCAAUAGCGUAUAUUAAAGUUGUUGCGGUUAAAAAGCUCGUAGUUGGAUCUCAGUUCCAGACGGGUGGUCCGCCUACCGGUGGUUACUGCCUGUUCUGAACAGCCAGCCGGUUUCUCUUGAUGAUCUUCACCGGUUGUCUUGGGUGACCGGCAAGUUUACUUUGAAAAAAUUAGAGUGCUCAAAGCAGGCGUGACGCCUGAAUAAUGGUGCAUGGAAUAAUGGAAUAGGACCUCGGUUCUAUUUUGUUGGUUUUCGGAACACGAGGUAAUGAUUAAGAGGGACAGACGGGGGCAUUCGUAUUGCGACGCUAGAGGUGAAAUUCUUGGACCGUCGCAAGACGAACUACUGCGAAAGCAUUUGCCAAGAAUGUUUCCAUUAAUCAAGAACGAAAGUUAGAGGUUCGAAGGCGAUCAGAUACCGCCCUAGUUCUAACCAUAAACGAUGCCAGCCAGCGAUCCGGCUGUGUUCCUCAAAUGACACGCCGGGCAGCUUCCGGGAAACCAAAGCUUUUGGGUUCCGGGGGAAGUAUGGUUGCAAAGCUGAAACUUAAAGGAAUUGACGGAAGGGCACCACCAGGAAUGGAGCUUGCGGCUUAAUUUGACUCAACACGGGGAAACUUAUCCGGCCCGGACGCAGGAAGGAUUGACAGAUUAAGAGCUCUUUCUUGAUUCUGCGGGGUGUGGUGCAUGGCCGUUCUUAGUUGGUGGUGCGAAUUGUCUGGUUAAUUCCGAUAAC